UUUAAUGAGUUAAUAAAUUAAUUGACGAAUUGUCUGUAUUUGGAUUCUAUAUCGGAGUUGUUCUGAGACCUACAGCAAAACGGUCCUUCCUGUAGAUUAUAAAGAGCUCCUUGGUGUGUAGAAAGCUACGUAGUGAGGGAAGUGUUCCUCACACGAAGCAGGAGGAGGAGGAAGGAACUGCGGGAUACAGUUAAUGACAUCGAGAUAAGAUUGCAACAGUCUGACUUGUCUUUUUUCCUCCCGGCAGCCCCUCCUUCCACCCCAAGCAGGGAUGGUAGAUAUUAUUCCUGUGGGGGAUCUCGCCUCUUCCAUUCUAUCUCUCAGUUCCUCCUCCCUCUCAAACUGUCCUUCUCACACUCACACUCACUCUCCGUGUUUCUCUUUCUGUUCCUAAAGGUUGCUCUACUUAUCUGUCUGCCUGACCAUCUUUCCAUCUGGACGCGGUCUGAUAAAGCAACUGUGUGAUUGAGACCCUCUGAUCAUGUCCUCAAAUGUCCUUCUCUGCCAUCACCGUCAUCCAUCUCUCUCUGUGCCGAGUGAACUCUAUGAGAGGAGAGUAAGGCCGAGGGGAGAAGGAAGAGGGAAACCUGGUGACCAAAUGUUACUGCUGCGGUGCCUGCCUGCCGGUGCCGCAAUCGUUAAGGAAUCGAUUCCAAGGUGCCAAACUGAUGUCUUCCAAUCGGAUCACUGGAAACAGAGUAGCCUCUCCCAGUAAAGCUCCAGAGCCUUACAACAUGCAGACAGGAGGAAGGAGGUACCCCCUGUUGCUCCAGCUGACGGAAGAGAAAGAACGAGAAAACAAAUGAGAAAAACAAGGCUUCUGAGAGAACUGCCUUCUCUCAGGCUCGCUCUUUAACUCUUUCUGUCUACCUCUCUGUCUCAACUUGACUAAACAGUACAAUUCUGAGAUUGAUAUUGGGUUGGUUUAAAUGUUAUGAAUUCCAGCUUAUAGAGAGGUGUUAUGCAGCAUAAUGUUUAUCCAUAUCAACUAGAUUCCUUGUUCCCCCACCCUAUUCAAUAAGUAGGUCAUGUAUUGUGCAAUAAAAUAUAGACAACCA